UCGUGCGAGAAGCCUCCUUUCGGUGAGCGGACAGCGGCGCAAGGGAGAGUAACGCGUAGAUACCUGCCCUCCGGUCUGGGAUAGCCACGGGAAACUGUGGGUAAUACCGGAUAAUGUCCCCGGACCAAAGAUUUAUUGCCGGAGGAUGGGUCUGCGUCCUAUUAGCUUGUUGGGGGGGUAAUGGCCUACCAAGGCAAUGAUGGGGUAGCGGGGCGUGAGAGCGUGGCCCGUCUCACUGGGGACUGAGACACUGCCCCAGACACCUACGGGUGGCUGCAGUCGAGAAUCUUCCGCAAAUGGGCGAAAGCCUGACGGGAGCGACGCCGCGUGCGGGAUGAAGGCCUUCGGGUUGUAAACCGCUGUCAGAGGGGAGCAAAAUUCAGUUUACUGAUUGAGCUAUCCUCAGAGGAAGCGCAGGCUAAGUUCGUGCCAGCAGCCGCGGUGACACGAACUGCGCGAACGUUAUUCGGAAUCAUUGGGCUUAAAGAGUUCGUAGGCGGCCUGAUAAGUUGGGUGUGAAAUCCCUCGGCUCAACCGAGGAACUGCGCCCAAUACUGUCAGGCUUGAGGGAGACGGAGGUGAGCGGAACUGAUGGUGGAGCGGUGAAAUGCGUUGAUAUCAUCAGGAACACCGGUGGCGAAAGCGGCUCACUGGGUCUCUUCUGACGCUGAGGAACGAAAGCUAGGGGAGCGAACGGGAUUAGAUACCCCGGUAGUCCUAGCCGUAAACGAUGAGCACUAGGUCGAGG
rnacentral:rRNA from 1 species